rnacentral:rRNA from 1 species
GACAGAGGUGGCAAGCGUUGCUCGGAAUCACUGGGCUUAAAGGGUGCGUAGGCGGUUGGGUAAGCAUCCUGUGAAAUCCCCGGGCUCAACCCGGGAACUGCAGGAUGGACUGCUUAACUUGAGGCGUGUAGAGGUCACUGGAACUCUGGGUGGAGCGGUGAAAUGCGUAGAUAUCCAGGGGAACGCCCAUGGCGAAGGCAGGUGACUGGGCACGUCCUGACGCUGAGGCACGAAAGCGUGGGGAGCGAACGGGAUUAGAUACCCCGGUAGUCCACGCCCUAAACGAUGUACACUAGCUUGAGGAUCUACUGACAGAUUCUGAAGCGUAGGAAAACCGUUAAGUGUACCGCCUGGGGAGUACGGUCGCAAGAUUAAA